rnacentral:rRNA from 1 species
UUAGGGAAUAUUGCACAAUGGGGGAAACCCUGAUGCAGCGACGCCGCGUGAGUGAUGAAGGCCUUCGGGUCGUAAAGCUCUGUCGUAUGGGACUAACACAAUGAAGGCACCAUGCAAGAAAGGAUCGGCUAACUUCGUGCCAGCAGCCGCGGUAAGACGAGGGAUCCUAGCGUUGUUCGGAAUCAUUGGGCGUAAAGCGGGUGUAGGCGGAUUUAUGAGUCAGGUGUGAAAUCCCAGGGCUCAACCCUGGAAGUGCAAUUGAUACUGUAAAUCUUGAGUGUGGUAGAGGUUACUGGAAUUGUUGGUGUAGUGGUGAAAUACGUAGAUAUCAACAGGAAUACCGGAGGCGAAGGCGAGUAACUGGGCCAACACUGACGCUGAGACCCGAAAGCGUGGGGAUCAAACAGGAUUAGAAACCCUAGUAGUCC